CGAGGGUUUUUUACAAAAGCUACUUGAACUAGAGAGACAAUUCUUGAGGUUUCCCCGAGAAUCGUAUGAGAAGAAAAGACCAACGAAUUCGAGGAAGACGACUAUGGAAGAUGAUGAUGAUCCUUCUCUAAGCAAUUUUCCCUCUCAUUUUUGUUUUUUUCUUUGGGGGUUCGCUGUGAAACUCUCUUUGAAUAGUGUGAGUUCUGUGAACUCCGACUGAGGGAAAUGAUUCAU
rnacentral:lncRNA from 1 species